AACGUAGGACACGAGCGUUAUCCGGAGUUACUGGGCGUAAAGGGCGGGUAGGUGGUGCGAUAAGACUGGUGUGAAAGCCUUCGGCUUAACCGAGGGAGGACACUGGUGACUGUCGGACUUGAGGCAGAUAGAGGGGUGUAGAAUUCCGGGUGUAGUGGUGAAAUGCGUAGGGAUCCGGAGGAAUACCAGAGGCGAAGGCGGCACCCUGGGUCUGACCUGACACUGAUCCGCGACAGCAUGGGGAGCGAACGGG
rnacentral:rRNA from 1 species